rnacentral:rRNA from 1 species
AGAGUUUGAUCCUGGCUCAGGAUGAACGCUAGCGGCAGGCCUAAUACAUGCAAGUCGAGCGGCAAGUCGAGGAGUAAUCUAAGACCUAGAGCGGCGCACGGGUGCGUAACGCGUAUGUAACCUACCCUAUACAGGGGGAUAGCCCGGAGAAAUCUGGAUUAAUACCCCAUGGCACUGCGAAUCAGCAUUGGAUUGCAGUUAAAGAUUUAUCGGUAUAGGAUGGACAUGCGUCUGAUUAGCUAGUUGGCGGUGUAACGGACCACCAAGGCGACGAUCAGUAGGGGUUCUGAGAGGAAGGUCCCCCACACUGGCACUGAGAUACGGGCCAGACUCCUACGGGAGGCAGCAGUAGGGAAUAUUGGGCAAUGGACGAGAGUCUGACCCAGCCAUGCCGCGUGCAGGAAGAAGGCGUUCUGCGUUGUAAACUGCUUUUAUCUGGGAAGAAAAGGCCCAUGCGUGGGACAUUGCCGGUACCAGAUGAAUAAGCACCGGCUAACUCCGUGCCAGCAGCCGCGGUAAUACGGAGGGUGCAAGCGUUGUCCGGAUUUAUUGGGUUUAAAGGGUGCGUAGGCGGUUGAUUAAGUCAGCGGUGAAAGUUUUGGGCUCAACCCAGAAAUUGCCAUUGAUACUGGUCGACUUGAGUAUUGCAGGGGUACAUGGAAUUGAUGGUGUAGCGGUGAAAUGCAUAGAUACCAUCAGGAACACCGAUAGCGAAGGCAUUGUACUGGGCAACCACUGACGCUGAUGCACGAAAGCAUGGGGAGCGAACAGGAUUAGAUACCCUGGUAGUCC